rnacentral:rRNA from 1 species
AUUGAACGCUAGCGGGAUGCCUUACACAUGCAAGUCGAACGGGGUGGCGAACGGGCGGGUAAUGUAUCGGAACGUGCCCAGUAGCGGGGGAUAACUACCCGAAAGAGUAGCUAAUACAGCCCACUAUUGAAGCGGCCGAUAUCGGAUUAGCUAGUUGGUGGGGUAACGGCCCACCAAGGCGACGAACCGUAGAUGGUUUGAGAGGACGACCAGCCACACUGGGACUGAGACACGGCCCAGACUCCUACGGGAGGCAGCAGUGGGGAAUAUGGGACAAUGGGGGAAAGCCUGAUCCAGCCAUCCCGCGUGUGUGAUGAAGGCCUUCGGGUUGUAAAGCACUUUUAGCAGGAAGGCGGUACCUGCAGAAUAAGCACCGGCUAACUCCGUGCCAGCAGCCGCGGUAAUAC